UCUCCAUUUCCUACACACUCUCUCACCGGUCAGAAUGAUGAGAGAGUGUGUGAAAUGAAGAGA
rnacentral:pre_miRNA from 1 species